rnacentral:rRNA from 1 species
UACGAAGGGUGCAAGCGAUACUCGGAAUUACUGGGCGUAAAGCGUGCGUAGGUGGUUCGUUAAGUCUGAUGUGAAAGCCCUGGGCUCAACCUGGGAAUGGCAUUGGAUGCUGGCGAUCUAGAGUGCGGUAGAGGGCGGUGGAAUUCCCGGUGUAGCAGUGAAAUGCGUAGAGAUCGGGAGGAACAUCUGUGGCGAAGGCGACUGCCUGGACCAGCACUGAUACUGAGGCACGAAAGCGUGGGGAGCAAACAGG